rnacentral:rRNA from 1 species
AUUGAACGCUGGCGGCACGCUUAACACAUGCAAGUCGAGCGGUAACAUGGGUAGUAGCAAUACUAUCUGAUGACGAGCGGCGGACGGGUGAGUAACACGUAGGAACUUGCCCAGUAGUGGGGGACAACCAAGGGAAACUUUGGCUAAUACCGCAUAUACUCGAGAGAGGAAAGCUGCCAGCAAUGGUGGCGCUAUUGGAGAGGCCUGCGUCCGAUUAGCUAGUUGGUGAGGUAAUAGCUUACCAAGGCGAGGAUCGGUAACUGGUCUGAGAGGACGACCAGUCACACUGGGACGGAGAGACGGCCCAGACUCCUACGGGAGGCAGCAGUGGGGAAUCUUGGACAAUGGGGGCAACCCUGAUCCAGCGAUGCCGCGUGAGUGAAGAAGGCCUUCGGGUCGUAAAGCUCUUUAGGCUGGGAAGAAGGUUAGUAGUUUAAGAGAUAACUAGCUUGACUGUACCAGCAGAAUAAGCACCGGCAAACUCUGUGCCAGCCGCCGCCGUAA